CCGACCUUAGCUCAGUUGGUAGAGCGGAGGACUGUAGUAUGACAGCUGAAAUCCUUAGGUCGCUGGUUCGAAUCCGGCAGGUCGGA
rnacentral:tRNA from 1 species